rnacentral:pre_miRNA from 1 species
UUUUGAGAGUAAGUAUGUCCCAUGUAAUGUUUGGAAUAUACUUAUGCUAAAA